rnacentral:rRNA from 1 species
GACGAGGGAUCCUAGCGUUGUUCGGAAUUAUUGGGCGUAAAGCGGGUGCAGGUGGCUUUGUAAGUCAGGUGUGAAAUCCCAGGGCUCAACCCUGGAAGUGCAUUUGAUACUGCGAAGCUUGAGUGUGGGAGAGGUGAGUAGAAUUCCAGGUGUAGUGGUGAAAUACGUAGAUAUCUGGAGGAAUACCGGAGGCGAAGGCGGCUCACUGGCCCAACACUGACACUCAGACCCGAAAGCGUGGGGAUCAAAC